CCUACGGGUGGCUGCAGUGGGGAAUAUUGGACAAUGGGGGGAACCCUGAUCCAGCCAUGCCGCGUGUGUGAAGAAGGCCCUCGGGUUGUAAAGCACUUUCAGUGAGGAAGAACGCCUGGUGGUUAAUACCCAUCAGGAAAGACAUCACUCACAGAAGAAGCACCGGCUAACUCCGUGCCAGCAGCCGCGGUAAUACGGAGGGUGCGAGCGUUAAUCGGAAUUACUGGGCGUAAAGCGCGCGUAGGUGGCUUGAUAAGCCGGUUGUGAAAGCCCCGGGCUCAACCUGGGAACGGCAUCCGGAACUGUCAAGCUAGAGUGCAGGAGAGGAAGGUAGAAUUCCCGGUGUAGCGAUGAAAUGCGUAGAGAUCGGGAGGAAUACCAGUGGCGAAGGCGGCCUUCUGGACUGACACUGACACUGAGGUGCGAAAGCGUGGGUAGCAAACAGGAUUAGAUACCCCGGUAGUC
rnacentral:rRNA from 1 species